UAUGGAUAAAAAGUUACUACUUUUCAAUACUUUUAGUUUUAAAUUUAUCUCUGCACUAAUAUAGUUGACACGUGCUCAAUCAAAAUCAUUUAAUGAUUGGAACCAAAUAAUGCUUAUUUUGUUGUUUAUUAGCAUGUCAUGAUCGACCGAGAGGCAUUUUUUUUUGAGGAAACAGUGGGGUAAAAGCCCCACCUUUCUUUUUCUUUUUUCUAUUUAUUCAAACAAAAGGUAGAAGCCAGUACAAGAGCAGUAGCACGAGCUGUGCUGAGGCAUUCGAAACCAAGAAAUUAAGAUAUAUCAUGUUAAAGAUUAUACUCUCUCUAUAUAUCUCUAAAGGAACUUAUUUUGGAUAUCGACGCGAUCACGAAAACAACUUUGAUCACUACUUUUCUAUAUAUUAUACAACUAAAAAAAUAUGAAACGUCAAUGAAACAUGUGGUCCAUUUCUAUCCGUAAAAAUAGUCUCGCA
rnacentral:lncRNA from 1 species